UGAUGAUGGUGGGGAAAAUUUCUGAGCAUACCUUUAUAUCUCUCCUAAGAUUGGUAGAGAUUCUUUCUUUCUUUCUGUCUGAAACUCAAGAUCUCACUUCUCAAGCA
rfam:Capsicum annuum cultivar Zunla-1 chromosome 6, whole genome shotgun sequence